UACGUAGGGGGCAAGCGUUGUCCGGAUUUAUUGGGCGUAAAGAGCGUGUAGGCGGCCGCACAGGUCCGUUGUGAAAACUGGAGGCUUAACCUUCAGACGUCGAUGGAAACCGUGCGGCUAGAGUCCGGAAGAGGAGAAUGGAAUUCCUGGUGUAGCGGUGAAAUGCGCAGAUAUCAGGAGGAACACCGGCGGCGAAGGCGGCACUCUGGGCCGGUACUGACGCUGAGGAGCGAAAGCGUGGGUAGCAAACAGG
rnacentral:rRNA from 1 species